UCCGGUUUGUCACCGGCAGUCUCGCAUGAGUCCCCAACUGAAUGCUGGCAACAUGCGACAGGGGUUGCGCUCGCUGCGGGACUUAACCCAACAUCUCACGACACGAGCUGACGACAGCCAUGCACCACCUGUGAAAGUGCCCCGAAGGGAGAGUGUGUUUCCACACCUGUCACUUACAUGUCAAGGGUAGGUAAGGUUUUUCGCGUUGCAUCGAAUUAAUCCACAUAAUCCACCGCUUGUGCGGGUCCCCGUCAAUUCCUUUGAGUUUUAGCCUUGCGGCCGUACUCCCCAGGCGGGGUGCUUAAUGCGUUAGCUUCGGCACGGACGGAGUUGACACCGCCCACACCUAGCACCCAUCGUUUACGGCGUGGACUAC
rnacentral:misc_RNA from 1 species